CUUAUGAUUGGUAAGUUUUUCAUGUAACCUCCUUAUAACUAAGUGUGUUGAAGGGACAAAAACAACAUUUUGAUGUACUUAAGAGACAUUUAAUAAGGAUACUGAUUUCGUGAAGAGUUUUAUACAAGUAUAUAAGUGCUAAAUUAUAUUUAAUUGAUAUAAGGAGAACAUGUGAGUUAUAAAUUGAUUAUAAAAAAAAUCAAAUUAUAGUUGAUACAUGUAAAGAGGGAAAAUAUGGCUAACAUUGUCAACUUUGUUUAUGUUAUGAUUAUAUUUCUUUUUGUAUAUUUGAUGAAUGUUGAUGCGGUUAAAAAAUGUUCUAAAACAUCUGAUUGUCCAUUACAUAUGUGUUGGAAUUAUACUUUUCCAAAGUGUCUCGAUAAUGUUUGUAAGUGUAUUAAAGGAUCUCCAUAAAUUUUAUGAGUAUAAACCCAAUAAAGAACAUAAUAAACACCCUGCUAGAAUAUUGUGUUGUCUUAUUCUGGUGGCACUCAAUAAUUUGUUUUUCUUAUACUAGUUCCAUAUGGACCUUGUAAUUAUGCAUUUGUACUCAUGAUGAUUGUAACAAAAUGAAAUAAAGAAAAUAAAAAAUAUAAUCUAGAUUGCUUGUUCUCUCUUAA